rnacentral:rRNA from 1 species
AUCUUCGGAUGGAUUUAAAACAGCUUAGUGGCGGACGGGUGAGUAACGCGUGGGUAACCUGCCUCACACUGGGGGAUAACAGUUAGAAAUAGCUGCUAAUACCGCAUAAGCGCACAGCUUCGCAUGAAGCAGUGUGAAAAACUCCGGUGGUACAGGAUGGACCCGCGUCUGAUUAGAUAGUUGGCGGGGUAACGGCCCACCAAAGCGACGAUCAGUAGCCGGCUUGAGAGAGUGAACGGCCACAUUGGAACUGAGACACGGUCCAGACUCC